UUUCGUGUGGUGUCCCGCAGGGGUCGGU
rnacentral:sRNA from 1 species